GAUGAACGCUAGCGGCAGGCCUAAUACAUGCAAGUCGGACGGGAUUCAGGAGCUUGCUUCUGAUGAGAGUGGCGCACGGGUGCGUAACACGUAUGUAACCUACCUUUAUCAGGGGGAUAGCCUCUCGAAAGAGAGAUUAAGCCCGCAUAAAAUCACAGCACAGCAUUGUGUAAUGAUCAAAUAUUUAUAGGAUAAAGAUGGGCAUGCGGAACAUUAGCUAGAUGGCGGGGUAACGGCCCACCCUGGCGACGAUGUUUAGGGGAUCUGAGAGGAUGGCCCCCCAGACGGGGACUGGGACACGGACCAGACUCCUACGGGAGGCAGCAGUAAGGAAGAUUGGUCAAGGGGCGGAAGCCUGAACCAGCCAUGCCGCGUGCAGGAAGACGGCCCUACGGGUGGUAAACUGCUUUUAUACGGGAAUAAACCCAGAUACGUGUAUCUGGCUGAAGGUACUGUAAGAAUAAGGAUCGGCUAACUCCGUG
rnacentral:rRNA from 1 species